UACGUAGGCAGCAAGCGUUGUUCGGAGUUACUGGGCGUAAAGGGUGUGUAGGCGGUUCUUUAAGUUUGGUGUGAAAUCUCCCGGCUCAACUGGGAGGGUGCGCCGAAUACUGAGGGACUAGAGUACGGGAGAGGAAAGUGGAAUUCCUGGCGUAGCGGUGAAAUGCGUAGAUAUCAGGAGGAACACCGGUGGUGUAGACGGCUUUCUGGACCGUAACUGACACUGAUGCACGAAAGCGUGGGGAGCAAACAGG
rnacentral:rRNA from 1 species